rnacentral:misc_RNA from 1 species
AUGAAACUUCAAAGUCGGCUGUUUCUGUGCUGGUGGUCACCCACAUGUGCACGUUUGGUCGCAAUCCACACACCUGUGCACUUUUGACUCUGAGCACCGCCCGCAAGGGCAGAAGGUCUUGAUCGGACCCGGUACUCGAGUACUUUACACACUCUGAAUGUAAUGGAAUGUCACUGUACAAUGUACAACUAUAAA